rnacentral:tRNA from 1 species
GUGGGAGAACCGGAUUUCCAUCGGAUUCAUAACCCAUAGGUCGGCGGUUCGAUUCCGCCCAUCACCACCA